rnacentral:rRNA from 1 species
AUUGAACGCUGGCGGCAGGCCUAACACAUGCAAGUCGAGCGGAUGAAGAGAGCUUGCUCUCUGAUUCAGCGGCGGACGGGUGAGUAAUGCCUAGGAAUCUGCCUGGUAGUGGGGGACAACGUUUCGAAAGGAACGCUAAUACCGCAUACGUCCUACGGGAGAAAGUGGGGGACCUUCGGACCUCACGCUAUCAGAUGAGCCUAGGUACGAUUAGCUAGUUGGUGGGGUAAAGGCUCACCAAGGCGACGAUCGUUAACUGGUCUGAGAGGAUGAUCAGUCACACUGGAACUGAGACACGGUCCAGACUCCUACGGGAGGCAGCAGUGGGGAAUAUUGGACAAUGGGCGAAAGCCUGAUCCAGCCAUGCCGCGUGUGUGAAGAAGGUCUUCGGAUUGUAAAGCACUUUAAGUUGGGAGGAAGGGCAGUAAGUUAAUACCUUGCUGUUUUGACGUUACCGACAGAAUAAGCACCGGCUAACUUCGUGCCAGCAGCCGCAGUAACAC